GACGUAGGGUGCAAGCGUUGUCCGGAUUUACUGGGCGUAAAGCGCGCGUAGGCGGCUCGUUAAGUGUGAAGUGAAAUCCCUGGGCUCAACUCAGGAACUGCUUUACAUACUGGCGAGCUUGAGGGAUGCAGAGGUCUGUGGAAUUCCUGGUGUAACGGUGAAAUGUGUUGAUAUCAGGAGGAACACCCAUGGCGAAGGCAGCAGACUGGUCAUCGCCUGACGCUGAGGUGCGAAAGCGUGGGUAGCAAACAGG
rnacentral:rRNA from 1 species